GAUCCAUUGCUGGUGGGCUGGUUUGAUCUUUUGGAUGUAUUAAAGAACCUUGUUUUGUUAUAUUACCAGAAUUGUUUUUCUGGUUCCUUCUCAUUUGGGUAGACUAUGUCACAGGGAAGACCUGGGAUUCAAGAGCUGCUGUUCAGAUUAUUUUGUUCCAUGGGGUCCUCCCUUGAUGUGGUAUUCUCCUCCUUUCCCUGGGAAUGGGGCUUCCUGGGAGCUGAACUGUAGUGAUUGUUUUUGCCCUUCUGGGUCUAGCCACCCAGUGGGCUACCAGGCUUCAGGCUGGUAUGGGGGAGUGUCUGUAAAUAUUCCUGUGAUGUGAUCCAUCUUCAGGUCUUUCAGCCAUGGGUACCCAGCACCUGCUGUGAUGGAGGUAGUAGAGGAGUGAAGUGGACUCUGUGAUGGUCCUUGGUUGCGUUUUUUAGUGCACUGGUUUUAUGUUGGUUGGCCUCCAGCCAGGAGGUGGCGCUUUGAAGUGCACAUCAGCUGUGGUCCUAUAGGGAGGAUGCAAAUUUGCCCAAGGGACACCUGGUUAAGUAUUCAGGAUUCUUAGCUAGUGAGCAGGGCCAUAGAGCACCCAAGAGAUUAUGAACUUCAUCUUCAGCUACCAGGGCAGGUAAAGAAAGACCACCAGGUGGGGGUAGGAUUAGGUGUGUCUGAGCUCAGCCUCUCCUUGGGCAUGGCUUGCUGUGGCUGCUACUGGGGAAUGGGGGUGUGGUUCUCUGUCCAAUGGAGUUUUGUUCCCAGGGUGAUUAUGGCUGCCUCUGUUGAGUCACACAGGCCACCAGGGAAGUGGGAAAAAGCCAGCAGUCACUGGCCUCAUCCAGCUCCCAUGCAGCCGGCAGUUCUAAAGGUCGGUCUCACUUCCACUGUGCUCCCCGCAACAGCACUGUGUCUAUUUCCGGGCAGCCAGUGACCAGGGCUGAGAACUUGUCCCAGACCACGAGCCACCCUGUUGAGAAAGCAAGCUGAUUUGGCAGUUUUUCAGCAUCUCAGGGAGGCUGCAGCAGUGAUCCAGUGCCAUCAAAGGGUCUGUGGAUUCUCUCGGCUUUCUUGGUCUCAUCUCCUCUCAGCACUUGGUGGGAAGAGUUCAGCCUCAUCCCUCACGGCAGCUCCAGUCAGCGCGCAACAGAGACCAACCAAAGCCAAGUUGCUAGAAAGGGACUCUGAGUGGCCAGUUUGGGUCAUGUGACUCCAUUGCCCACGGGAGCAGUCUCUCUGAGAAGAAACAGGGUCAGAGCAGGUGGAUAAGCAGCAUUCCUGCCUCAGUCAUAGGCCCCAGUGUUCUCCACUGUCCGUCAAUAAGCCAGGCUUGUUUGUCCUGCACAUCUCACUGACACCAACAGUGGAAGAGCUGAUUUCUUCCUGCUGGGACCAACGGGAGCUGGUGAUGACUGCGCCAUGUUCGGGAGGUCACAUGAGGCCAGCAGAGGAUGGAAGAGACCAGCAAAAAGUAAGGUUGUACUUUUGAUUUCUCCCUCCUGUAAACUUGUCAUGAAAUAGUUACCCCUGGUAGAGUCAGCAAACAGGGCUGGACCAGCAGCCCAGCUAAUGAUGACUGGGUGGCCUGGCUGGGCCCAGUGUCUAUGGAGCAGAAAAACAUUCGCGAUCGUUCUGAUCAACGGGACUUACCAGUCAU